UUUCAAUUAAUAAUUCAGAUAAUUUUAUUAUCAUAUAAGUGAACAGUUAGAAAUUUCAUUUUUUCAAUUAAUUCUGUUAAAUAAAAAAUUCUAACAAUGAAAUAUUUAUAAUUUUUCAAAUCACAGAGAUCAAUUCGUAUUUUGCGAAUCAGCGCUAAACACCGGGUUGGGUGGUGACAGCUUCAGUCAUCAUAGAUUCCUCCUGAGUCACAUUAUCGCUAGGAUAUCACCCAGAAGCGGUAUGAUCUUAACAUCAAUGAGUCCAAGCGAAAUACGAAAUAAAUUUUUAAAGUGUUUUUCAUAAAAGAAAGCAAUGUGCUGCAGUGGCACAUAGUCAUGCUGAACAAUAGGAAAGGCUUUCUCAUGUUGUGUUUCUUAUUGGUUGGGUCCUAACAGAUGAGUGAAUUAUUUAUGCCUUCAGGUUGGGUUUCCUUUUCUGAGGGUGAAUUGUUACCCACAAAGUCGAGUAAAAAUUACAAUUUUAUGGGAUUAGGUGUUUGUGCACUCCAUUCCAGUUAUUUUCUUAGAUUGUAUGAAUGCAAUAGUUUUACAUAUAUACAUAUAUAUUUUGAGUCUUCUAUUCUAUUUCUUUUUCUCUUGCUAUUUUUCCUUGACUGGUACUUGCCGAUGUCAAUCAAAAUGCUAAUGGCUGGCCUUGAGAACUGCACCAAUCAGUGAGAAAAUUUCCUCUUCAAAGUCUAUGUAUUUUGGCACAUCUAUUUGGGGGCUACCAGUACAUUGGCUAUUUUAGCAGCACAGUGACUAUAUGUGUUCUGAACUUAUGAGUUAAUUACUCCGAGUGUUGGAUAUCAUCCCAUGUGAGGGUGAUUCCUUUCUCCAUGUGAAGGCAGCUAAAUGGAGUCAAGGAAGAUGGCACCGAAUUCGGCGGAGUAUGGCGCACGCGGGUGGCUGUCAGAGGCGCUGGAUUUGGUACAGAAUGUGUCUGCCAACCUCCUUCCCUCCUUGGUGUAUAAAUAGAGAGGGUGAGGAGUGAGCUAAGUGUGAGCAACCAAGGGAAGGAAGAUGUGAGAGUGAGAUAGAGAGUCCUUCUGUUUGAGAGAGGAGAGCUCCCUCUGUGAGAGAGGGGGAGCUCAGUGGGAGUUGAAUGAGAGAGAUCUUCUCCUCCAUUUAAAUCUCUUUGUAAUCUCUAUUAUAUAGUGAAUACAGUUCCUCUCUCGUGAAUGUAAGCAUUGAAGCCGAACCACAUUAAAUAUUGUCUCAUUCAUGUGUGUGGUUGUUUUUCUGUUUUGCAUAAUUUCUGGAAGGCCUUGGGCGAGAUCCCAUAUCCCAGCACCAAGACCCCUCAACUAUUACCGAAUAUUAUCUUAUGCCCCUCAUCUAUGAACUCGUACAGUUUGGCCUCUCAACUUUAAAAAUGUAUCACUUUCUCCCUCCAGAAUGAGGGUCUUGAUGUAAUUAACUCUGCAAUUAUUUCACCUUUCUGUUUAUCUUUCAUUCAAAUUAGUUUAGUCCCUCUUUGCUCUUAUGAUGAUGUAGUGCUUGUUUGGGGAGUGAAUUUUCUCCUUUGAAAAGGGCUUGAGCAUGCUUUGUCUAUCAUUUUGUAGGGACUUUGGUUGUUCCCAUUUUUAUUCCAUCCCUUGGCUUAUUAUCUGUUUAUACUAGACAAGGGAGGCCCUUUUGCAUCAUUCUUGCUCUCUUGGUGCUUUUCCUUUUGAUGAUUGCAUCUAGACUUGCUCAUAUGGUUUUUGGGCUCCAUGUGAAACAUAAUACUUUGCAAGUUUGUUGAUAAUGAGACAAGAUUCCCUAAGCUGGAGUCUUGAUUAUUUGCAAUUAUGUGUAUCCACAACUCAAUUUAAGACAAGCCAUUAUGAGGUAAUGCGGAUUGAGUUCGAUUAUUCACAUGUAUUUUAAUGUACAUCUUGUUUUCUCACAUCCAUGUUUUGUGGUGCUAUAUUGUCCACCAAUGUCUCUAGCAAGAGAGCCCUCUUCUUUACCCAUCAUCUAUCUUUUCUUCUCACAACCAUUAUGACACAGCAUAUGGAGUGGGACAGGUUGAUUGGGGAAGUGAAAAAAAGAUCACCCUUUGUCCUUAAAUGUGAAAACAAAGUUGUGGACAGUAAAUUUCUGGUUUUAGUAUUGUCUUUAUUGUUGUGUGUGGAUUGAAUCUAGAGGAACAUUUGGGUUCAAUUGGCUUUAUGGCAAAUGAAAAGUAAUUUGAAGGGUAUGGGCUAUAAAAGGUGGUUCACAGGAAGAUGUAAAAUAAACUUUGGGCAAAUUGCAUAUUAUUAGAACAAUCUAAAAAUGUUUACACUACACAUGAAAACCUUUUUAGUGCGAGUCUGAUCACAAUAAGGACUUAAACUAAAUGCAGGAAAAGACUUGCACAAAAUACAAGAGAGACUUGCACCCCAAAAAAAUAUUUUUUUUUACUUUGAGAUUUUCCCAUAAAAUUCUUUUAGGCUGUGUUUGGUUGGAGGAUUUGAUGAUGGAAUUGGAAAGGGAAAGGGAAAUAGAAAGAAAAGGAGAAAGAAUUGGUAGGAUUCAAACUCCAAACUAUGUUUGGUUGAAUUGGGAAAUGGAGAAAGAAAAGAGCCUAAGUGAACCCAAAAAAUAAAAAGUGGGAUUGCAUUUUCCCCUCACUUUCUUUCCCCGGUGUGAUUUCCAUUAUAACCAAACAAAAAGUGGGAUCGCAUUUCUUUUUUCAUUUUCCAUUUCUCUUCUCAAUCCUCACUACAAAAAAAUUGCUUUUUUGCAACGGUAAAACACCGUCACAAAUACCCCAAAUGCCGUCUCAAAAAGUUUUUUGCGACGGUAAGUGGCUUUUUGCGACGGCAAGUGGGGGGUCGCAACAAAAGGGGUUGUAAAAGGGUUUAGCGAUGGCAUAACGCCAUCACCUUUUUUUUUGCAACGGCAAAAUGCCUUUUUUGCGACAGAAAAAUUCUGUCACAAAUAACACGUGAAAAUCUGAAUUUUUUUGAGACGGCAUUGUUUUGCCGUCGCUAAAAAGGUCUUUUGCGACGGCAAAAAAUACUGUCGCUAAAGGUUUAUUUGAGACAGCACCUGAGCCGUCACUAAAGGACUAUUGGCGACGGCAAUAACACCGUCACUAAAGACCUUACAUUUCAACCAAUUCCCUAUCUUUUGCGACAGUAAAGAUGCCGUCGCUAAAAACCUAGUUCAA